GACAACCCAAAACAUUCUUCAAAAGUUCCCUCCAUGACAUCAUAAUAGAGAUACAAUCAAAGAUCAUUAUGUUUAAUGAAAAUCAUAAGCAUUGACAAAACACUUGCAACUAUGACAUCAUGUCACUCAUGCUAGGAAUUGAACUUAAUGCGAUCGUUUAUAAGCGACCUCCACUACUUAUGAAUAUAAGUUUGUAACGAUUAUGUGAAACUUUCUUAUAUUCUAGCAUCAGAUUUAUGCAUGCCAAUUAAGUGUUGACCCUUAAUCAACAAAUACAAAUAAGAUACCAAUCAAAUAGUUAAGCCAAUUGCAUUCACGAUUCAAGAGUUCAUAACUGGAAUUUAUCAAAUUAUAUUGCACACAUAGUCAUGGCUUUGAAAUCACCCCUAGCCAAGAGGGGUUUAGUCACUCAUAUUUACAACAAAACGAAAGGAAAUGAAUUUAAACAUUAGAAACAAAAGAAAGAAAACACCUAAACGCUCCAACGAUCCAAGUUGGACAGCAAACACGUCCAAGCACUUUCCUUCCCUUCCUUUACUACGGCACAAGGUGUUGGUGAGUGUUUGAAGGUUUGUUUGUAUGGAGGAAUGGAGGUAAAGAUGAAUGGAUGUGUUCGGAUGAAGGUUGUGUUGAAAUGAGAGUGAAUGAUCUAACCAAGUAUCCACCCCAUUUAUGUUACACACACUUCCUUUUAUAGAGGAAGUGCAUGGCAAUGGAGGGGAACAUGGAGUGGUGUAGCAAUUGAGUGCAAUGAUGCAUGAAAUCUGAAAUGAUGGAGGGAACAAGGAAUGGUGUAGCAAUGAAGUGUAAUGAGUGUAAUGGUGCAUGAAAUGGGUGCAAGAAGGUGAAAGGAUAUUGUGCACAUGGUAGACAAAGGAAAGGAAGUGGAAUGAUGCAACAAAUGAGUCAAUGGAGGGAACAUGGAUGAUGAUGCACGACAUAGGAAUCCAAAGGGAGUGUAAUGGUAGUGCACGAUAAUGAUGGAAAGGUGAAUGGUGGAGUGACAUCCCUUUAUGGCUGAGCUCUUUGUCCUUUUUACAUUAAUUCUUCUUUCUCUUUUACACAUUCCUAGCCUCUUUAGUCUUCAAUUUCGUCCAUCCACCUUGCUCCAUGCAUGUGCUAUUCAAUCCAAGCCCAAAACUGCUCCAAAAUGCACCAAAAUGCAUCUUAUUGCUUUAUAAGGCCUAUGAACCUACAAACACACGAAAAUAGCUUAAAAUACAUAAUUAACUAAGAAAUAACAACAUAAAUGUAUGAGAACAAGCUAACUCAGUCGCAUAAAUAUGCUCCUAUCAAUGGCUAGAUAGAGGGUCCUUCUCCACACUUGACACAUACGCAUACGAAUCGAUUUCCAGUUAUUCUUCCUAUAAACCAUGAAUGACGAUGCUCCAGAUUAACCGUGAACAUCACUAAUUAACCCUUAGAUUUUCCUAAGUUCAUUGAAUUGGAUUCAGUGUCGUAACCAAAUUAUUCUUGUCAAGUUCCCUACAUGAACAACAUGAUAGAGAUAUAUCAAAGAUCAUUAAGUUCUAUGAAAAUCAUAAGCAUUGACAAAGCAUUCGUAACUAUGAACAUCAUGAUGCUCCUGCCAGGAAUUCACUUAACACGAUCAUGACCAGUGACCUCCACUACUUGUAAAUAUAAGUUCAUAACUAUUAGGUGAAAUUCCCUUAUAUUUUAGCAUCAAAUCCAAGCAUGCAAACUAAGUAAGCCUCCUUAAUCAACAUACAAGAAUAAGUUCUGAAUCAAACAGUUAAGCAAAUUGCAUUCACGAUUCAUGGAAUCAUAACUAAAAGUAAUCAAUUCAUAUGCAAUAUAUGUUCAUGGCUUCGAAUUGUCCUCUAGCCAAAACGAGUUUAGUUCCUCAUUUUUGCACUUAACAAAGAUAACUUAAAUUAAACAUUGAAAAUAAAAGAUAGAAAACACCUAAGAACGCUUUAGCAAUCCAAGGAUCUUAAAUGGUAGGGCACGGCAAAGGGUCUCAUCUCCUUUCUCCUUGCAAAGCUGCAACACAAAAGGGAUUUCUGAGUAUGAUAGAUGUAUGGUGCGAAUUUGUGGUGAGAGAUGGUGAAUUAUAAGUGCUGUGACACUUUGUAUUUAUAGGGAGAGGAGGAUGCACGACAUAGGCUGAAAAGGAGGGGAAUUAGGACUCCAAAUCAACAAGGAAUAAAUGAUGUGAAAUUUAACUAAGACUUAAAUUAAAACCCUAUGAUUGUAGUAUAUGAAAGUAGGGAUCGUUUUAGGCCGGGGAUUAGAAGGGCUGCUAAUCUACACAAAUUGAACUUUAAAACACUAAACUAGACUCAAAAACACAAAACUAGACUCUUAUGACUUAAAACUGACUUAAAUGACUCAAAACAGCAACAAACAAUAAAACAGACUCAAUUCUUGACCUAACUAAUGAUUUGGUGAAAAUAAACUUAACUUAACUGAAAAGAUUAAAAGAAAACAGAUUAUGACUCAACUAACAAGACUUAAUGAAAGGGGGAUUGUUUUUGACAAAUUUAAAACUUAAAACAAGAAACCUUGCAGAAACAAACAAUGAAAAUGAAUUUAAGGUGAAUUAAAAAGGAUGAAAGGCUAGUUAGAGGGCCCUUCUCCACACAUGACAUAUGCCUACAAACCAAUUUCCAGUUAUUAUUCCUUUAGACUAUGAAUGGCAACACCCCAUGUUAACCAUGAUAUCACAAAUUAACCAUCAGAUUUUCCUUAAUUCAUUGAAUUGGAUGGAAUACGCAUCGCAACCAAAUUAUCCUUAUCAAGUUCCCUAACUAUGAAAAGCAUGAUAGAAAGACAUAUCAAAGGUCAUUAAGUUCUUUGAAAACCAUAAGCAUUGACAAGGCAUUCGUAACUUUGAAAAGCAUGAUACUCCUGCCUAGAAUUUACUUAACACAAUCAUGACUAGUGGCUUCCACUACUUGUGAAUAUAAGUUCAUAACGAUUAGGUGAAACUCCUUUAUACUCUUGCAUCAAAUUCAUGCAUGCAAAUUAAGUGUCGACCCUCAAUCUACAUACAUAAAUAAGUUUUGAUAACUCAGAUAAGCAAAUCACAUUCAAGACUCAACAAACAAUAACUGGACGUAAUCAGUUCAUAUUAAACAUAUAAUCAUGGCUUCGAAUUCACCUUCAACUAUAAAGAAAUUAGUUCCUCAUAUCUUUGAAAACAUAAAACCAAAUUAAAACAAACAUUGAACUAAAACUAAGGAUAGAAUACACCUAGGAACGUCCAACAAUCCAAGCUUGAAUGGCAGGGCACGACUCCAAGGGUAUCCUCUCAUUCUUUCAUUGCAAAACUGCGGCACAAUUGUAUUUUUCUGAUGUUUUGGCUCUUGUGUGUGUGGUGCACGAAAUUGUGGUGAUAAAUAUGUAUUUAUAGGCCUAGGGUUUGCACAAUUUCUGAAGGAAAAAGGAUUGCACAAUCCUAGGAUGAAAGGGAGUAGGAUACACGACAGGUUUCUAAAAGAGAAGGGAUUAAAUUCGUCAGAUUUCUAGGGGAAAAAGGGAUCAACUUAUUUGCAUUGUUUCAGGGCUUCUAGAAUCAGAUAUUAGGUAGUCUAAUGUGAUAAGGAGUCCCUCUUGCAGCUGGAAUUAAGGUAGGAUAAGAUUAGGAUAUGAUAGGAUAAGAUAAGGUUAGUUUGGAUAAGAUAAGGUUUUGGAUAAUAUUCCUUCCUUUUAUCUAAUUCCUUAUCUUCUUUGUCUUGACUUUAUUUUCUUCAUCUCUUCAGCAUAUUCCUAGCCUUUUGAACUUCAAAAACGUCCAUCCACCUUGCUCCAUACAUGUGCUAUCCAUUCUUGGCCCAAAACUGCUCCAAAAUGCUCCAAAUUGCACUUUCUAGCCAACUUUGUCAUUUGAACCUACAAACACACGAAAAUAGCUUAAAACACUGUAAUAAGUAGAAACUAGCUAUGGAAAUGCAAGAAAACAAGCUAACUAAGUCGCAUAAAUAUGCUCCUAUAAAUAAGGAUACUUCUAAUCCGAUUCCAGGGAGGAAAAUGACUAGUCCCUGCAGCAGGAAAUAGAGCUUCUAAAAGGGCUAGGUGCGGCACACUUUUAGGGAUAAUGUCUUGGCUUCUAGAAACCUGAUUUGUAGGCGAUUUAAUGUGAAAUUGAUCCCCCCUUGCAGCUGGAAUUAAGGUAGGAUAAGAUUAGGAUAGGAUAAGAUAAAAUAAGGUUAGUUUGGAUAAGAUAAGGUUGGAUAAUAUUUUGGAUAAUGUUCCUUCUUUUUGGUUGAUUCCUUAUCUUCUUUGUCUUGAAUUCAUUCUUCCAGAUUUGUAGCACAUUCCUAGCCUCUUUGAACUUCAAAAACGUCAAUCCACCUUACUCCAUUCAUAUGCUAUCCCUUCUUGGCCACAUAAAUUAGCUAUGAAAAUGCAAGAAAAGAAGCUAACUAAGUCACAUAAAUAUGUUCCUAUCAAUAUACGUUGUGAAUUUUAUUUUAUUUUCUUCCUUAUUAAAGGCUGGUAGUCUACCAUCCAAAUUGGAUCACAACACAAGUUCAUGUAACUUAAAUUGAAGGAAAAUUGAAUAGAAUAGGUUCGAAUCUUAUAGUAGGGGAUGAAAUUUAGUUUUUUAUGAGUUUAAAUGAAAAAAUAGUUUGAGAAGUUAAUUUUCAUUCGAAUAAUGAUUAAGAAUCAAGUCAAUAUUACUCUAUUACACUACAAAGAGAAGACAUAAAAAGGAAAAAGAAUAAUAAGAGCAUCUCCAAAGGAGAUGUCAAAAUCCUAAGUGAAAUGUCACUGUGCAUAUUUGACAUAAAAAAUCUUUCUAACCCAAGUGUUAUUUGCUGAUUGGAUUUGAACACUUUGUAAUUAGGAGUCAAAUUUGACAUCAAUGUUGAAUUUAUUUUUAAUUAAUUUUAAUGGUGGAUCCCUUAUUCCACAUUUCAAACAAUACAAAUUUUGUUUCAACAUUUUUUGUAAUAAUUACAACCAUUAAAGCUCUAUUUUAAUAAGAAAAUAAUAUUUGACAAUUCAGUUGGAGAAUUAUAAUUUGACAUAAGACAUAAGACUUCAGAUUGCCACAUCAACCAUUAAUUUUAAUUUGACUAUUAAAAAUGGAUUAUGUACUAUUCUACAUAUAUAGCAGAUGUGUCUGAGUGGCGACAGAGUAUGCAAUCAACGAGUCUAAAAUUUGUGUCUGAGAUGUGAUUAGUUGAGAAUUAAUCUAUCCUUGAGCUUGUCUCAGAUUUGGGCUUUAUGCUCCUUAUUCAGUGUUUUUGCCUACUUUUAUUGCUUUCUGUCCUUUAAUUUUCCUUCCUCCCUUCUCCUUAGUUGUGAUACUCCAUCCCCAUCCCACCCAUCCCACCAUGUACUCGGAUGGGUGGGCUCUGAUAAGAAAUUGGAUAUUAGAUCCACUACCCUCCCUCACUUCACCUCCCCCAACUGGCAUGCCGGAUUCCCAUCGAGGUCAAGUGUUGGAUAUUUUAUAUACCUCCUUAGCCUCACUCUCUACCCAUAUGAUAGGAGCAUAUUUAUGCUACUUAAUUGGCUUGUUCUCGUGCAUUUAGGUUGUGUUUACUUAGCUAUUUUAGUGUUUAAAGUCACUUUUGUGUGUUUUCAGGUUCUACGGUUAAAGUGUGCAAGAAGAUGCAUUUUGGAGCAAUUUGGAGCUUGGAAUGCAUGUCACAUAUUUGGAGCCAAGGUUUGGACGAAUUUGAAGACUUGAAGAUGAUGAUUCCUACUUGAACAAGGUUUCCUAGUUGAAGUAGGAAAGUGCUUACAUGAAGGAGGAUUCCUAAUCGACGAAGGAUUCCUAAUCGACGAAGGAUUCCUAAUUGAAGAUGGAUUCCUAAUCACAUGAGGAUUCCUAGAAGAACAAGGAUUCCUACUCCAACAAGGAUUCCUACUUGAAGUAGGAAAGUUAAGCCAAGGUUUCCUACUUUGGUUUGAUUUUUCCUAAUUGUCCCUAAAAGUUCCAGCAAUUAUGAAGAUUUUCUAAGCAUUCUAGGACACAAAACAAAAGCCUAGAACCCUUAUGGACCCCUUGCCACACUCCCUUGCCCUUUCCUCUUCCUUGCCGUGCAAGGGAGAGGGCUCUUUCCUGUUUUGGAGCAUUAAAACACCUUCCUUUUUAUGCUUUAAACCCUGGCCGAAUUUCCUUGACCUUUCCUUUUAAUUUUCUGAUUUGUUUCCUUAAUUCUAGAAGCUUUAAACUUAAUUCCUGAUUACCUAAUUAGCCUAGGGUUUUUAAUUUCCUAAUCCCUUUAAAUAAACAGGUUUGUGCAGCCACAAACAUCUCCAUUCAGCCACACACUCUCCCAAAAUUCGUCAAAACCCAUCCACAACCUCAGAAACCAUUCCUCCUCUAUCUCUGCCGAUUUCCACCACCAUUCUUCAUCUCCACACCUUCCACACAACACCCAUACACUACCCCCAAGCCUUGCCGUGCCCCUACACCAUCCAUAAUCCAUUCUACAUCACACAAACCCCCCAGAAAUCAUCCUCACCCAAUAUGCCGCAAGGAGAAGAGAAGGAGACAGUUCAUGAAAAUUGUUUGGCUCUUCAAUCUGAGUUGUUGAACAAUUUUAGGUGUAUUCUAUCUUAUAUUUCAAUGUCUACUUCUUGUAAUCUUUGUUUUUCAUUGAGUAUGAUUGGCUAAAUUCGUUUUGGCUAAGGGUGUAUUCGAAACCAUGUUUAUUUAUGUGAAAUAAGUUGAUUACUUCCAGUUAUCGUUGCAUAAGUCGUGAAUACAAUUUGCUUAACCGUUUAAUUCAAAACUUAUUCUUGUAUGUUGAUUGAGAGUGCACGCUUGAUUUGCAUGCUGGAAUUUGGUGCUAGAAUAUAAGUUUGUUACACCUAAUCGUUAUGAAUUUAUAUUCGCAAGUAGUGAACAUCGCUAGUCACGAUCGUGUUAAGUAGAUUCAUGGCAGGAGUAUCAUGCUUUUCAUAGUUACAAUUGCCUUGUCGAUGCUUAUGAUUUCCAAAGAACUUAAUGAUUCUAACGUGUAUCUUUAUCAUGCUGUUCAUAUAGAGAACUUGUUAGGAAAAAUUUGUUUGCGAUGCAUAUUCAUCCAAUUCAAUGAUUCUAGGGAAAUCUGAAAGUUAAUUUAAGCGGACCUAAUUAACUUGGAGUGUCGAGGUUCAAAACUUAUUGAAUUGAUAACUGGAAAUCGAUUACGUUGCAUAAAUUUCAUGUGUGGAGAAGAACCCCUUAGCCAUUCCAUCACCCAUUGAUUCAUCACAUUUAGUUUACAAUCUGUUUUAAUUUACAAUCUGUGCAUUUAGUUCAAAUUCGUCCAAACACAAUUCCCCCAUAUUUUGUUAAGUUUGAGUCUUCAUAAUCUGUCCUCUUUGGUGUUUUUAAGUAUUUUGAGUCAUAAGUUUUGUCAAAUUCGUCCAAAUCUUGUCUUAGUUGCUGUUUGAAUCAAUUAACUUGUUUUAGUCAGUUUUGGGCAGAUUUGAGUGUUUCAAAUCUGUUUGAAUCUUAGUAGUCUAAUUAGAGUCUUUAAGUUUAGUUUUUGUGUUUCUAAGUCGAUUUGUAUUAGAUUAGCACCCCUAGUUAAUCCCCGGUUAGAACGAUCCCUACUUACAUCAUUACUACAAUUGUCACAAAUAGGGUUUAAUUUGUGUGUCAAGUUAAUUUUCACAUCAAAUUUUGGCGCCGUUGCCGGGGAUUAGCAAAGUUGCUAAUCCCUCGUUAUUUAUUUUUGUGUUAUUUUUGUUUGUUUUAAAUUCAGUUCUGACUUGGUUUCUUGUUUUCUUGUUUUAGGUAUGAGUGUAUGACUCGAAGUUCCAAAUCUGUCCAAGCAAACAUUUUGGAGUUCGACGACGAUUUUGAGCGAACUUUGAGAAGAACAAGAAGGCAACAAGCAUCCAAUCCACCUAGCCCGGAACCUCAUUGCGAAGAAAACGAAUUUGAAGAGGAAGAAGAGCCCACGGCUAGAGUUGUAGAGGAGAACCAAGAGAUGGCAGCGGACAACCGAACCAUUAAGGAGCUUUCUGCCUCGGGUUUGGAUAAUGCAGCCCCUCUUUGCAUCCAAUACCCCGCGGCAGCCCAAGGGAAGACCGAAGAGUUCGAAUUGAAGGCGAGCUUGUUACAUCAUGUUCCAAAGUACCAUGGGCUGUCCAUGGAAGACCCAAACAAACACUUGAAGGAGUUUGAAGUUGUUUGUUCAAGCAUGACGCCGGUAAAUGUUGAUGGCAACAUUCUGAAGAUGAAAGCUUUUCCAUUCUCUCUAAUGGAUAAAGCUAAAGAUUGGUUGUAUGAAUUGGCCCCGGGGACGGUUACCUCGUGGGAGAGCAUGAAACGAGCGUUUUUGGAAAAAUUCUUUCCAACCUCAAGAGUCAUUCUUUUGAGGAAACGCAUUAGUGGCAUCCAACAAAGCCAAGGUGAGUCAUUUCCAACAUAUUAUGAACGUUUUAAAACUCUUGUAGCUUCUUGUCCACAGCAUGAAAUGAAGGAGGAGUUGCUCCUUCAAUACUUCUACGAAGGACUCCUUCCCAUGGAACGCCAAAUGCUAGAUGCCUCAGCGGGUGGUGCAUUGGUGGACAUGACUCUGGUGGCUGCCAAGACUCUCAUUGCGAACCGAGCACACAACGCACAACAAUAUGAAGGUGUUGGGCAGAGAGAUACCCCACGGCAACAUCAAGUCAAUGAGGUAAGUGCCAUAACCGAACUUCAAAAUCAAAUGGCUAACCUUACUGCUUUGCUUUCUCAGGUGGUGGAAGGUCCAAAAGUGCAAAACAUGGCAGCUUGUGGCGUAUGCUCCAUGCAAGGCCAUCUUACGGACAAGUGCCCACAGUUGAUAGAAAAUGGAGGGUGGGAGACCCUCAAUGCCGUGGGAUUUGGCAACCAAUACCAACCGAGGAAUGACCCGUUUUCCAAUACUUACAAUCCCGGUUGGCGUGAUCAUCCAAAUUUCAAAUGGCGAGAACCCCAACAAGGCCAACAACAAAACAGAUUUAGGCAACAACCCCCGGGUUUCUAACAAAAGCCGUUUGCACCAACUCAACCUCAAGCACAAACCACCCAAACUAAUUCAGGUUCGUCCAUUGAUAAUGAUCAGAUUUUUCAAUUACUAACUUCUAUGGCGCAGGGUAUGCAAAGUAGAGACAAAAGGAUGGACGAGUUGGAGAAGCAAGUGGGACAAAUUGCCGAGUUUAUGGGGCAGUUUCGUGAGCAAGGGAAGUUGCCUAGCUCAACCGUGGUGAAUCCAAAGGGUGGAUUUGAAACUGCCAAGGCCAUUACGCUAAGAAGUGGGAAAGAAGUUGGAACCGAGCCAACACCAUCCAAAUUUGCCCCCGAGGAGGACGAGAAGUUUCAAAUUGAAGAGGAAGAGCAAGCAAAAGCCACGGCAAGGAUUGAACAAUCCUUGCCGCACCCACCUAAUGCAUCCAAUUCGUCCACCAUAGGUAAGAAAGGUUCUAUUCAAAUUAAUUCUAAUGUCAUUCCUCCGGAUGUACGCUUUCCUAGCAGAUUUUUGCAAGCCAAGAACGAAGAAGAGGAAAAAGACGUUCUUGAGACGUUUAGAAAGGUGCAUGUCAAUAUCCCACUCCUUGAUGCUAUCAAGCAAAUCCCGAAGUAUGCCAAGUUUUUGAAGAAGCUUUGUACAACAAGGAAACGGAUUCGGGAGAAGGAGGUGGUACACGUAAGUGAGAAUGUAUCUGCAUUGUUGCAAAGAAAGUUACCACCUAAAUGCAAAGAUCCAGGUAGUUUCACUAUCCCUUGUGUUAUUGGCAAUACGAGGUUUGAUCAUGCUAUGUUAGACUUAGGUGCAUCUAUAAAUGUUAUGCCAUAUUCUGUUUAUGCAUCUAUGAAUCUAGGAAAGCUUAAAAAUGAUGGCGUUAUUAUUCAAUUAGCCGAUCGAUCUAAUGCAUAUCCCAAGGGAGUGUUGGAAGAUGUUUUGGUGCAGGUAGACCAUUUGAUUUUUCCUGCAGAUUUCUAUGUGCUUGAUAUGGAGGACUCAACCCACUCUCCACCAUCACCACUCUUACUUGGACGACCAUUCAUGAAAACGGCUCAAACCAAGAUUGACGUGGCCAAGGGAGCAGUAACUAUGGCCUUUGGUGGUGAUAUGAUUAACUUUAAGAUUCCUGAAUCGAUUGAGAAUACUAAUGAUGUUUGUUCUUGUUGUGCCAUUAAUAUAAUUAAACACAUAGGGACAGAAUGUUCAACAAAGAUCAAGAAGGAUGUUUUUCGAACUACCACCGAGAAGGAACUUGGAGUAGAGCACAAGGAGUGCACGGCUCCAACCUUGGAAGCACCACAAUUGGCCAUGAGAAACCCUUGUGCAUCCGUCCAUUGUGCUACCACUUCUUUGCCGUACAAAGGUAAGCCACCUAUUCCAAAUUCGAUUCCCAUUUCAACUAAUAGGUUGUUACCUCAUGUGGUGCAGGUACCUAAUCGAAUUCAACGUCGUGGGAGAAUUCGUGUUGAUGUAGAAAAGCAAAACACGACAAUAAGAAAGGAUCAUUAUCCCACUCCAUUCAAGGACCCAAAGCAUGAAGUGGUUCGUCGAACAGAUUGUAGUUGCACCCCUCCAUGCCGUGGGGUGCCAUAAACCUUCAAUGGAGCAUCGUCCGGCUGCAAGACGUAAAGAAAGCGCUACUUGGGAGGCAACCCAUGCAAUUCAACAAAGGAAGCCCAAGGAAUCACUCCAAUUCCAGAUUUGCGUUCCUAAACCCUUCUCUUUGUUGAUUCUUUCUAAUCUGCCAGUUUUGCUAUUUCGUUGCUGUUUGUGUGUUUCUUUUUGUUUGGUGUGAUUUUAUGCUUGAAACAUUGAGGACAAUGUUUGAUUUAAGUGUGGGGGGGUAACUAAGUGUUUUUGAUGCAAAUUCGUGGGAUUUUAUCACCCUUAACUUGGAGACUUGUUCCUUGCUGUUUUUAAGUGUUUUUGAGCAGUUUUGGUGUGUUUUAGUGUGUUUUGAAGUAAAAAUCCGAAAAUCACAUAAAAAUUUGAAAAAUUUGUUUUAAAAACCCAAAAAGAGUUGUUUUUGUGUGUUUGUUUGUGUCUUAGGGUACCUUCCAACACAAUGAUGAGGAUUCGGUUUGUAAUUACAUGGCUGUUAAAAAGAGUGAUUAACAUGGAUGAAAGUUUGAUUUACUCUUUGUUUAUGCUUGGUUGUGGUUAUAACUUAUGAAUUCACAUGCAAUCAUAAAGGAAAAAUCAGUUUUUGUAACAUGCUUCAAGGAAGGAACUCGAAUUAACGCUACAACCUUGUGAGACUUGAGCCUAAACGUUUAUUUGGAGAGUUAAAAUCUGUGCAUUCUUUGUUUUCUAAGUCGUUGCAUGAUCUCAUUAUUCCUUGCUUGGUUGCUACUUAGAAGGCGUUUCAUCAUUUAGUUCCAAAUGCUAGAACUCAUGCCCAUUUCAUUCAAAGCAUGUCAUUGAAUUGCAUAACACAUAUUCAAGAUAAAGUUGUGUAGUGACCACCACCAUAGCCAAAAAAGCCGUAAAUCCCCUAUGUUAUUAUGUUUUGUAGGUUUUUAACCCCGUUGAGCCUUGUUUAGCCUAUUCUUUGUUAACCCAUGUUUUCCUCACCUAGCCUAGAUUAGGACCAUCCAUACCCUUGUUCUUAAAGCAUAGUAAAGCAUGAUUCAAAUUGAAUUCCUUUUGAUUUAUGUUGGCAGAAAACAAGUGUGGGGGAAGUAUUUCUUUUGUGAUUUUGUGUGCCAUAGGCACGUGUGGAAAGAAAAGAAAAGAAAAAAAUUUGUGGAAAAAGAAAAAAAGUGUGAAAAGUAUGAAAAAAGAGUUGAAAAGAUGUGAAAAAGAGUUCCAAAGUAUUGUCUGUUGAAGUAAGGGUCCAAAACAAUGAAUUCGGCCCUAAGGAGUUGUCUAAAUCUUUCCCUUGUGUUUUAAAGUUAAUUUCUGCAAUCUAAGUGAAUUCUAAGUCUCAAUUUCACUACUUUGCUUACUAAUGCUUGAAGAACGUUUGUUUUCCCUAUCCUUUCUUUGUUAACCAAUACCCCAAGCCCCGUUACAACCCUUAACUUCUAUCUUGAGUGUUGUGUAUUUCAAUUUGUGGAGUUUGAAUUUGGUAUGAGCAUAUGGUGUCACUGGUUCUCGCAUCUAAGUAGUAGCAUUCCAUUCAUGAAAUCAUAUCUAAACAUGCUUCUUAACUCUAGAAAUUGCGUUCUUUGUGAAACAUAUAUGUGAGCAUUCGUUUUCAUAUCUACAUUAAUCUUCUCACAUAUGACUAGUGUAGGGUGUGUAGUUAGAAAAUCUGAGUGAAAAUAGAGUGUAUAUCUUGUAAGGAAUUGAGGGAAUUCUCUAAGGCAUGUUACUACAUUCAAAGCAUUGUUUUAAUUGAUUACUUGUGAACUAGUAAGUAGUGGCUUUAAUUAAGUAUGUGCUUGUGUAAAGAUGACUCAAAUCUGUGGGGAUAACAAUCUUUAACAUGUCAUGUGCAUUGGAAAUCCCUGAGGCAAACGUUGGAAGGUAUAGGUUUUGUUUUGGUUAGUUUGUUUCGUUUUGUUUCCUACCUUUUGUUUGUUUUGCUCGAGGACUAGCAAAAGCUAAGUGUGGGGGAAUUUGAUAGGAGCAUAUUUAUGCUACUUAAUUGGCUUGUUCUCGUGCAUUUAGGUUGUGUUUACUUAGCUAUUUUAGUGUUUAAAGUCACUUUUGUGUGUUUUCAGGUUCUAAGGUCAAAGUGUGCAAGAAGAUGCAUUUUGGAGCAUUUUGGAGCAAUUUGGAGCUUGGAAUGCAUGUCACAUAUUUGGAGCCAAGGUUUGGACGAAUUUGAAGACUUGAAGAUGAUGAUUCCUACUUGAACAAGGUUUCCUAGUUGAAGUAGGAAAGUGCUUACAUGAAGGAGGAUUCCUAAUCGACGAGGGAUUCCUAAUCGACGAAGGAUUCCUAAUCGACGAAGGAUUCCUAAUUGAAGAUGGAUUCCUAAUCACAUGA
rnacentral:lncRNA from 1 species